rnacentral:rRNA from 1 species
UACGUAGGGGCCGAGCGUUGUCCGGAGUUAUUGGGCGUAAAGCGCGCGCAGGCGGCCUCGCGCGCCCGACGUGAAAGCCCCCGGCUUAACCGGGGAGGGUCGUUGGGGACGGCGGGGCUUGAGGGCGGGAGAGGUCGGUGGAAUUCCCAGUGUAGAGGUGAAAUUCGUAGAUAUUGGGAAGAACACCGGUGGCGAAGGCGGCUCACUGGCCAGUUUCUGACGCUGUAGCGCGAAAGCGUGGGGAUCAAACAGG